rnacentral:rRNA from 1 species
UACGAAGGGGGCUAGCGUUGUUCGGAAUCACUGGGCGUAAAGGGCGCGUAGGCGGCUUGAUAAGUCGGGGGUGAAAGCCUGUGGCUCAACCACAGAAUGGCCUUCGAUACUGUCAGGCUUGAGACCGGUAGAGGUAAGUGGAACUGCGAGUGUAGAGGUGAAAUUCGUAGAUAUUCGCAAGAACACCAGUGGCGAAGGCGGCUUACUGGUCCGGAUCUGACGCUGAGGCGCGAAAGCGUGGGGAGCAAACAGG